AGCAGGUGCAGAGUGGGAUGGGUAGAAGAAAGAAGUACCUAUUUUCUCAGCUGAGAUGAAAAUAGCUUAUCUGGCAAAACAAAGCUUGAAAGGGCAUAUGGUUACAUCUUUCAUCAUCUCUGUGGAGUCCAGUGUUACAAGCCAUGGAACCUUUUAAGAAAGAGUUGGCAGCUGCAUGGCAUAUGUAACUUUCUAAAUCCAAACCCCAUGUAAAUGGAAAGCAGUUACUCCCACGCUUCUCAGUCCCUUUUGGCUACCAUCUGGAACAACAACAAGAUAAAGCUAACUCUUCUUAUCACCUUAGAUACAUAAAUCCAGCUGAAAACAGUUAUGUUUUUUCCUAAUAAAUUGUGUGAUUAAAUUCAAGCUAAAAAGUUUCUGGAAAACUGAUACCUAAAUAAGGAUUUGGAAAGCUUUUAGGUUCCUGUUCCAAAAAGAAAAAAAGCCAAACCAAACCCCAAGCAACCAAAAACCAAACAAUAAAACCUCCUUAUAAAGAAACACCAG
ensembl:lncRNA